GUGGCUCUGACUGCUUAUUGCACCACAUGUGUUUUUCUUUGAAACAAACUUGCUUUGGCGGUGGGCCCAGCCUGCCGCCAGAGGUCUAAACUUACAACCAAUUUUUUAUCAACUUGUCACACCAGAUUAUUACUAAUAGUCAAAACUUUCAACAACGGAUCUCUUGGUUCUCGCAUCGAUGAAGAACGCAGCGAAAUGCGAUACGUAAUAUGAAUUGCAGAUAUUCGUGAAUCAUCGAAUCUUUGAACGCACAUUGCGCCCUCUGGUAUUCCGGAGGGCAUGCCUGUUUGAGCGUCGUUUCUCCCUCAAACCGCUGGGUUUGGUGUUGAGCAAUACGACUUGGGUUUGCUUGAAAGACGGUAGUGGUAAGGCGGGAUCGCUUUGACAAUGGCUUAGGUCUAACCAAAAACAUUGUUUGCGGCGGUAACGUCCACCACGUAUAUCUUCAAACUUUGACCUCAAAUCAGGUAGGACUACCCGCUGAACUUAAGCAUAUCAAAAGCCGGAGGAA
rnacentral:rRNA from 1 species